GACAGAGGAUGCAAGCGUUAUCCGGAAUGAUUGGGCGUAAAGCGUCUGUAGGUGGCUUUUCAAGUCCGCCGUCAAAUCCCAGGGCUCAACCCUGGACAGGCGGUGGAAACUACCAAGCUGGAGUACGGUAGGGGCAGAGGGAAUUUCCGGUGGAGCGGUGAAAUGCGUAGAUAUCGGGAGGAAUACCUAUGGCGAAGGCAGGUUACUGGGCCAUUACUGACGCUGAGCUGCGAAAGCUAGGGGAGCAAACAGG
rnacentral:rRNA from 1 species